rnacentral:rRNA from 1 species
GCCUACGGGGCGCAGCAGUGGGGAAUAUUGCACAAUGGGGGGAACCCUGAUGCAGCGACGCCGCGUGGGCGAGGAAGUAUUUCGGUAUGUAAAGCCCUAUCGGCAGGGAAGAAGAAAUGACGGUACCUGAAGAAGAAGCCCCGGCUAACUACGUGCCAGCAGCCGCGGUAAUACGUAGGGGGCAAGCGUUAUCCGGAUUUACUGGGUGUAAAGGGGGCGCAGACGGCGAUGCAAGCCAGGAGUGAAAGCCCGGGGCCCAACCCCGGGACUGCUCUUGGGA